rnacentral:rRNA from 1 species
GAUGAACGCUGGCGGCGUGCCUAAUACAUGCAAGUCGAGCGAACAGACGAGGAGCUUGCUCCUCUGACGUUAGCGGCGGACGGGUGAGUAACACGUGGAUAACCUACCUAUAAGACUGGGAUAACUUCGGGAAACCGGAGCUAAUACCGGAUAAUAUAUUGAACCGCAUGGUUCAAUAGUGAAAGACGGUUUUGCUGUCACUUAUAGAUGGAUCCGCGCCGCAUUAGCUAGUUGGUAAGGUAACGGCUUACCAAGGCAACGAUGCGUAGCCGACCUGAGAGGAUGAUCGGCCACACUGGAACUGAGACACGGUCCAGACUCCUACGGGAGGCAGCAGUAGGGAAUCUUCCACAAUGGGCGAAAGCCUGACGGAGCAACGCCGCGUGAGUGAUGAAGGUCUUCGGAUCGUAAAACGCUGUUAUUAGGGAAGAACAAAUGUGGAAUUAACUAUGCACGGCUUGACGGUACCGAAUCAGAAAGCCACGGCUAACUACGUG